UCCUACGGGGGGCAGCAGUGAGGGAUAUUGGUCAAUGGGGGAAACCCUGAACCAGCAACGCCGCGUGAGGGAAGACGGUUUUCGGAUUGUAAACCUCUGUCCUCUGUGAAGAUAAUGACGGUAGCAGAGGAGGAAGCUCCGGCUAACUACGUGCCAGCAGCCGCGGUAAUACGUAGGGAGCAAGCGUUAUCCGGAAUUAUUGGGUGUAAAGGGUGCGUAGACGGGACAGCAAGUUAGUUGUGAAAGCCCUCGGCUUAACUGAGGAACUGCAACUAAAACUAUUGUUCUUGAGUGCAGGAGAGGAA
rnacentral:rRNA from 1 species